rnacentral:rRNA from 1 species
CAAAGAUUAAGCCAUGCAUGUCUCAGUACGAGCCCGUCACGGGCGAAACCGCGAAAGGCUCAUUAUAUCAGUUAUGGUUCCUUAGAUCGUACCACAUUUUUACAUGGAUAACUGUGGUAAUUCUAGAGCUAAUACAUGCAAAUAGAGCUCCGGCCCAGAGAUGGGAGGGGUGCUUUUAUUAGAUCAAAACCAAUCGGUCCGCGUGCGUUUCGCGUGCCGCGUACGUACGCGGCGGCGCGGCUUCGCGGCCACGUCCGUCGCGCAACGGCGCGGUGCGCAUUCGCACGCUCCGUAUAUGCUUGGUGACUCUGAAUAACUUUGUGCUGAUCGCACGGUCACGUACCGGCGACGCAUCUUUCAAAUGUCUGCCUUAUCAACUGUCGACGGUAGGUUCUGCGCCUACCAUGGUCGUAACGGGUAACGGGGAAUCAGGGUUCGAUUCCGGAGAGGGAGCCUGAGAAACGGCUACCACAUCCAAGGAAGGCAGCAGGCGCGCAAAUUACCCACUCCCGGCACGGGGAGGUAGUGACGAAAAAUAACGAUACGGGACUCAAUCCGAGGCCUCGUAAUCGGAAUGAGUACACUUUAAAACCUUUAUCGAGGAUCCAUUAGAGGGCAAGUCUGGUGCCAGCAGCCGCGGUAAUUCCAGCUCUAAUAGCGUAUACUAAAGUUGUUGUGGUUAAAACGCCCGUAGUUGAUUUUUCGGCGUUGGAGGAUGGUAGCUCGAAAGAGUUUCACUGUUGCUCUGAGUCUGAUUUUGGGUUUUCUGUCGGUGCCCUUUAUUGGGUGUCGGCAGUGACUUGAACGUUUACUUUGAAAAAAUUAGAGUGCUUAAAGCAGGCUUUACGCUUGAAUAUAGUGCAUGGGAUAAUGGAAUAGGACUUUGGUCUUAUUUUGUUGGUUUUGAGGGCUGAAGUAAUGAUUAAGAGGAACAGCCGGGGGCAUUCGUAUUGUUGCGCUAGAGGUGAAAUUCUUGGACCGCAGCAAGACGAACAACUGCGAAAGCAUUUGCCAAGAAUGUUUUCAUUAAUCAAGGACGAAAGUUAGAGGUUCGAAGGCGAUCAGAUACCGCCCUAGUUCUAACCGUAAACGAUGCCAACUGGUUUUUUGCCGGUGUUAAUUAAUGACUCGGCAGGCGGCCUCCGGGAAACCAAAGUGUUCAGGUUCCGGGGGAAGUAUGGUUGCAAAGCUUAAACUUAAAGGAAUUGACGGAAGGGCACCACCAGGAGUGGAGCCUGCGGCUUAAUUUGACUCAACACGGGAAAYCUCACCAGGCCCGGACACCGGAAGGAUUGACAGAUUGAUAGCUCUUUCUUGAAUCGGUGGGUGGUGGCGCAUGGCCGUUCUCAGUUGGUGGAGUGAUUUGUCUGGUUAAUUCCGAUAACGAACAAGACUCUAGCCUGCUAAAUAGGCGUAAUAAACGGUAUUUCAAGGCCCGGCGUUGCGGAUGCGUGUUUCGCAUUGUUAUACUUGCAUUGCGCGCGCGCGCGUCAUCAUUUCGCAGGUGCGACUCGUUGUAUGCGAUCCGCAUCGUCGCGUGCGUACGUCUAGGCGUGCGUGCGCACGUGCGAAUCGUUGCCGUGCGUCCGUCGACAGAUGUAAGCGCGCGUCGCUCGUGCUCAGUAGGGCGGCGCGUAAUCAACGUCUGCCAUACGUUUGAGGUUUUUAUUACCGACGUCCAUAGAAAUCUUCUUAGAGGGACGGGCGGAUUCUAUCCACACGAGAUUGAGCAAUAACAGGUCUGUGAUGCCCUUAGAUGUUCUGGGCCGCACGCGCGCUACACUGAAGGAAUCAGCGUGUCCUCCUUGGCUGAAAGGUCCAAGUAAACCGCUGAACCUCGUUCGUGCUAGGGAUUGGGGCUUGCAAUUGUUCCCCAUGAACGAGGAAUUCCCAGUAAGCGCGAGUCGUAAGCUCGCGUUGAUUACAUCCCUGCCCUUUCUACAGACCGCCCGUCGCUAACACCGAUUGAAUGAUUUAGUGAGAUCUUCAGACUGGUGCGCGGCAGCGUUUCAACAUUGCCGCCGUUGCUGGGAAGUUGAGCAAAGUUGAUCAUUUAGAGGAAGUAAAAGUCGUAACAAGGUUUCCGUAG